GAUAGUUGUGGCACUGCAUGCUGCAAUUUUCCCCAGGGCUUUAGGGAGGGCUUCCUCUGUGGGAAUGAGAGAACUCUCAGGGGCCAUGUUGCACAGGGCCUGCAAAGAGGGUGGAGAUUGACCAGAGCCAGCCUAGAGUUCCUUAGGCCUCUCUGCAGCUUUAGUCAUGUCCAUUGGCAUCUGGCUCCCACAGCCUUACCUGACCCCCUUGCAGUGCCCAGAUCCCAAAAGCAGAAGGGGAUCCCAGCACACCAUGGCCAUGGUUCUGAUUUGUGCUCUGUUCUAGAGUGGGAUCAGGACAUGGCUUAUCUGGCAGCCUUGGCACAUGAUGGUUUGGAAUCCUUAGAGAAUGCUGGAGGCAAGCCCUUAAUGUCCCCUUCCAGACAAAAUAAUCAGUUUCAAGAUCCUGAACUUUAUCCAUGACUUUGACAAGCUCAGCCUUCUGGAAAUGCCACCAUGCUGAAUGUGGUAUUCUUCCAUCUACCUGUGUUUCUUCUUUUUCUCAAGGCAUGAAGCAAAAGGCUGUGCACAAGGAGGCACCUCCUGGAGGAAGCAGUGUCUCACUGGCAACUCCAGAUUCAGGAAGAGAGGCAAUUGCAGGCAGAGGCCCAGACACAGGAGAUGCAGUCACCACAACACGUGUUCCUGAUUCCCAGAAGGGCAUCAGAAUGAGUUUCUGUCAGGGAACACGCUGCUGGCUAGUGAUAAUGGCAGGCCUGCUUUGUUUGGUGCUUUUCUUCAUUUUGUGCUGUUUUGGAAUCUGGUAUAUCUGUCAGAGAAAACAGUGUGUCUCUGCAGCUUCACAAAUCCUGCCAAAGACUUCAGCUGGAAAGAGCUGUAUCGGUUAUCGGCCAUCCCCAAGCCAGUAUCUAACAUCCCUGCCCCCGCUUCAUUACCAGCUCAUUGUUGUGGAGGUGCAACCACCAUGCAGAACAGGACCCUCUGCCCCUGCAGGUGCUGGCCCUGGUGUCUUGCCAGGCCUGAAGGUGGGCCCCUCCUGCCAGGGAAGGGCUUAAACAACACCUUUGGGCUUCAGCUCUGGUGUCUGGCUGGUACCACCCGCACUGACAAAGCUCCUUGUCUGGACACAGCCAGGUUGGGCAGACAGCAGUCGGGCACAGGGCUCCUGAGACCAGCAGCCACUAUGUUUAUUUUUCAUUUUGAAGUGUUAGGGGUAUUUUUUUUAUAGAAAGAAAUCCCAAAAUAUUUCUUUUCUUUUUCCACAAUAGUUCUGUAUUUUUCAAAGUAGUUUUAGGAUUCUGGAAAAGUUUGACUAUUUUUACACUUUUUGAAUAAAUGAAAUUGCACUUAA